GUGAGGAAUAUUGGUCAAUGGGCGGGAGCCUGAACCAGCCAAGUCGCGUGAAGGAAGAAGGAUCUAUGGUUCGUAAACUUCUUUUGCAGGGGAAUAAAGUGCAGGACGUGUCCUGUUUUGUAUGUACCCUGAGAAUAAGGAUCGGCUAACUCCGUGCCAGCAGCCGCGGUAAUACGGAGGAUCCGAGCGUUAUCCGGAUUUAUUGGGUUUAAAGGGUGCGUAGGUGGGUUGAUAAGUCAGCGGUGAAAGUUUGCAGCUUAACUGUAAAAAUGCCGUUGAAACUGUCGGACUUGAGUGUAAAUGAGGUAGGCGGAAUGCGUGGUGUAGCGGUGAAAUGCAUAGAUAUCACGCAGAACUCCGAUUGCGAAGGCAGCUUACUAAGCUACAACUGACACUGAAGCACGAAAGCGUGGGGAUCAAACAGGAUUAGAAACCCUUGUAGUCC
rnacentral:rRNA from 1 species